rnacentral:rRNA from 1 species
UGCAGUCGAGCGGAACGAAGGUAGCUUGCUACCAGGCGUCGAGCGGCGGACGGGUGAGUAACGCGUAGGAAUCUGCCUAGUAGAGGGGGACAACAUGUGGAAACGCAUGCUAAUACCGCAUACGCCCUGAGGGGGAAAGGAGGGGAUCACUUGUGACCUUCCGCUAUUAGAUGAGCCUGCGUGAGAUUAGCUAGUUGGUAGGGUAAAGGCCUACCAAGGCGACGAUCUCUAACUGGUCUGAGAGGAUGACCAGUCACACUGGGACUGAGACACGGCCCAGACUCCUACGGGAGGCAGCAGUGGGGAAUAUUGGACAAUGGGCGCAAGCCUGAUCCAGCCAUGCCGCGUGUGUGAAGAAGGCCUUAGGGUUGUAAAGCACUUUCAGGGGUGAGGAAGGGUGAGUCGCUAAUAUCGACUUAUCUUGACGUUAGCCCCAGAAGAAGCACCGGCUAACUCUGUGCCAGCAGCCGCGGUAAUACAGAGGGUGCAAGCGUUAAUCGGAAUUACUGGGCGUAAAGCGCGCGUAGGUGGUUUGUUAAGUCUGAUGUG